AUUAAAUAUAGGUAAGAACAUAUGAAAUUUAUUACUCAAAUGAAAUUCAGCAUUUUGCUAGAGAUGCAGACCAAUUUGUAUGAUGUUAUGAUGGAUAUAUCAUCAACGACUUUUGAUUUCGCAAACUUGACAAGGAUAACAAGAGAACCACUCAGUAUUGUUGUCAAGGCAUAUACAAGUAUUAGAGAUAUAACCUAUUACGGAAGAUUGAUAGAUAUUAUCAAGAUUUGAUAUACCAAUGAUAUGUAAUUUGUACUAUUUAAAUGUGAUUGGAUUGAUGAUAUCAAUUGGAAGAAGAUAGAUGAGUUUAAGAUGACACUUGUCAAUUUUAGUCAUCUUUUAUAUAAUGACAAUGAUGUUUCAAAUGAACCAUUCAUUCUAGCAAGUGAAGCAAAACAAGUAUGCUAUAUUCCAGAUCCUGUAGAAUUAGGAUGGAGUGUUGUUCUCAAGAUGGCAGUUAGAGAUUUGUUUGAUAUGUUCUCAAAAGAUGGUUCCAAUAAUGUUAAAUCAGUACUUCAAGCAGAGCCUUUUAACGAGCAAUAUUUAGAUGAGACAAUAUAUACUCGUGAUGAUGAUGUUCAUUGGAUAAGAAAAGGUAUAGAUGGAAUAACUGUAGAUGAUAUAAGAUCCAUCGAAGAUGAUGUUGAGAUAGAUGAAGAUGAAUGACCGUUGUUAAUUGUGAAAAUUUGCAUGUAAGUUAUUAUUGUUCAUUUGUUAGUUAAAUUUUAUAUAUUUACUUUCUGUUAGUUAAUAUUGUUCAUUUAUUAGUUAAGACGAAGAUGAUGCUUACUUUUUAUGUUUUACAUAUAGGAUGGCUCCAAAGAGGACACGUGGUGUAUCCAUGUUGGAUAUAUUAUAGGCUUAUUCAUCAUCUCAGUCCAAUCAUGAUGAGUCACAGCAAUCAUCACUUUUAGCAUAUAAUACUCAGCCACAUAGACAGCGAUCAGAGACCAUAUUAUCUCAGCCACAGUCAUCAGAUGUUGUAGAUAAAAUCACUUAUUCUACUUAUGUAAAGUUAAAAUCAUUGUACUAUCUUAUCUUAUUAUUGUAUUUGGAUACUAAUUAGGUAAUUUGAGUCAGUCAACUUCUAGACAAAGAGGUCGAGGCAUGGCUCAUGGUAUUGAGUUUGGGGCAUGGAUCAGAAGUUCUUUGGUAUUUGAUGCUCAUAUGCAACUUUGUGGGUCCAAUGCAAGUAAGUUCAAGAGUCAAUUAGGGAUAAUAGCAAAAAAUGGGACAUAUAUCCCAUUGACAUAAGCAUCUUAGACAGAAAUGCCUCAAUAUAUUUUAGAUCAUAUUUGGAAAAAGGUGCAGGUAAAAUAUAUUUAUAAGUUUUGUUUUAUAAUUAUGUAUUUGAUUGUAGAUUAUAUUUGGAAGGAGAUGCGAAAUAACUCAUCUUUUAUAUUCAUAUAUUUUAUAUGAUUACUAACUUUGUUAAAUUUUAAUUUUAUAGGAUAACACAGACGUUCUUAGUGAAUACAAAGAAAAUUGUUUAAAGUCGGUUGGUGAGAUGUGGAGGAAUUAGAAGUCUUAUAUCAAGCAUCAUUAUUGUGAUGAACAUCAGAGAGAAGAAAAUCUUAUCUCUAGACCUCCUCCAUAUGUGAAAGCUGAUCAGUGGGAGGUACUUGUUUGUUAUUAGAGACAAGAAGUCCAGGAGAAGAUGAAAUGAUGAUUUGAGGAGGUACCUGAGGACGAGCGCACACUAAAACUAAAAGAUCGUAUCUUUGUGGAGGUGAUGGGAGAAGAUGGACAUGGAUGGAUGCAUACUUGGAGUUCGAACAUGACAAAGCAAUGUUUGCAUCAGCAAUCUUAUCAGGCACCAUCAGAGAAGACCAUUAGGAGGUAUCGAGAUGAGCUUCGAACUGAGUUUGAUGACAAGAUUUUUUACUUGGAGGCACAGCUCUAUCAGAUGCGUGCUCAGAUGGCGAGUGGAUGUUUUGCGCAUAGUCCAGUAGGUACUCGUUCGGUGCCAUCGAGUAGUGGGUUUCAGAUGCAUCUAGUGCUCACCAAACACAUCCAUCGGAAAAUGAGAGAUUCGUCCAGAUGCUUGAUGAGGUUUGUGAUGAUAUUUUUGUUGUCCAAAUUUUCUUUCGAACUAUCAUUUUUAAUAGUUUUGUCGUUAAAUAUUUUACUAGAGGCAAAAUAUGAAAAAGUAUUUCGAAAAAGUUAUCCAAAUGUCCUUUUAAAAAAAAUGU